CUGGAUAGCUCAGCUGGUUAGAGCACGGUGCUGACGACACCAAGGUCGCAGGUUCGAUCCUCUAUGGGACAGU